rnacentral:rRNA from 1 species
AGAGUUUGAUCCUGGCUCAGGCUUUGGCGGCAGCUACACAUGCAGUCGAGCGGCAGCGACACAUUGAACCUUCGGGGGAUUUGUUGGGCGGCGAGCGGCGGACGGGUGAGUAAUGCCUAGGAAAUUGCCCUGAUGUGGGGGAUAACCAUUGGAAACGAUGGCUAAUACCGCAUGAUGCCUACGGGCCAAAGAGGGGGACCUUCGGGCCUCUCGCGUCAGGAUAUGCCUAGGUGGGAUUAGCUAGUUGGUGAGGUAAGGGCUCACCAAGGCGACGAUCCCCUAGCUGGUCUGAGAGGAUGAUCAGCCACACUGGAACUGAGACACGGUCCAGACUCCUACGGGAGGCAGCAGUGGGGAAUAUUGCACAAUGGGCGCAAGCCUGAUGCAGCCAUGCCGCGUGUGUGAAGAAGGCCUUCGGGUUGUAAAGCACUUUCAGUCGUGGGGAAGGUAGUGUAGUUAAUAGCUGCAUUUUUUGACGUUAGCGACAGAAGAAGCACCGGCUAACUCCGUGCCAGCAGCCGCGGUAAUACGGAGGGUGCGAGCGUUAAUCGGAAUUACUGGGCGUAAAGCGCAUGCAGGUGGUUUGUUAAGUCAGAUGUGAAAGCCCGGGGCUCAACCUCGGAAUAGCAUUUGAAACUGGCAGACUAGAGUACUGUAGAGGGGGGUAGAAUUUCAGGUGUAGCGGUGAAAUGCGUAGAGAUCUGAAGGAAUACCGGUGGCGAGGCGGCCCCCUGGACAGAUACUGACACUCAGAUGCGAAAGCGUGGGGAGCAAACAGGAUUAGAUACCCUGGUAGUCCACGCCGUAAACGAUGUCUACUUGGAGGUUGUGGCCUUGAGCCGUGGCUUUCGGAGCUAACGCGUUAAGUAGACCGCCUGGGGGAGUACGGUCGCAAGAUUAAAACUCAAAUGAAUUGACGGGGGCCCGCACAAAGCGGUGGAGCAUGUGGUUUAAUUCGAUGCAACGCGAAGAAACCUUACCUACUCUUGACAUCCAGAGAACUUUCCAGAGAUGGAUUGGUGCCUUCGGGAACUCUGAGACAGGUGCUGCAUGGCUGUCGUCAGCUCGUGUUGUGAAAUGUUGGGUUAAGUCCCGCAACGAGCGCAACCCUUAUCCUUGUUUGCCAGCGAGUAAUGUCGGGAACUCCAGGGAGACUGCCGGUGAUAAACCGGAGGAAGGUGGGGACGACGUCAAGUCAUCAUGGCCCUUACGAGUAGGGCUACACACGUGCUACAAUGGCGCAUACAGAGGGCGGCCAACUUGCGAAAGUGAGCGAAUCCCAAAAAGUGCGUCGUAGUCCGGAUUGGAGUCUGCAACUCGACUCCAUGAAGUCGGAAUCGCUAGUAAUCGUGGAUCAGAAUGCCACGGUGAAUACGUUCCCGGGCCUUGUACACACCGCCCGUCACACCAUGGGAGUGGGCUGCAAAAGAAGUAGGUAGUUUAACCUUCGGGGGGACGCUACCACUUUGUUUCCGGGAAUGACUGGGGUGAAGUCGUAACAAGGUAGCCGUA